GGGGAUGAACUUAGAGUCCCCAAGUACGGAAGUGUUAAUAGUGGCACUUUUGGCCGGGUGUCAUGGUUAGUGAAUC
ncrna:unclassified sequences L13-Bacteroidia ribosomal protein leader